rnacentral:rRNA from 1 species
GACGAACGCUGGCGGCGUGCUUAACACAUGCAAGUCGAACGGAAAGGCCCUGCUUUUGUGGGGUGCUCGAGUGGCGAACGGGUGAGUAACACGUGAGUAACCUGCCCUUGACUUUGGGAUAACUUCAGGAAACUGGGGCUAAUACCGGAUAGGAGCUCCUGCUGCAUGGUGGGGGUUGGAAAGUUUCGGCGGUUGGGGAUGGACUCGCGGCUUAUCAGCUUGUUGGUGGGGUAGUGGCUUACCAAGGCUUUGACGGGUAGCCGGCCUGAGAGGGUGACCGGCCACAUUGGGACUGCGAUACGGCCCAGACGCCUACGGGAGGCAGCAGUGGGGAAUAUUGCACAAUGGGCGGAAGCCUGAUGCAGCAACGCCGCGUGCGGGAUGACGGCCUUCGGGUUGUAAACCGCUUUCGCCUGUGACGAAGCGUGAGUGAAGGUAAUGGGUAAAGAAGCACCGGCUAACUACGUG